rnacentral:piRNA from 1 species
AAACCUUUGUUCUUGGAUUAAAAG